AUCCGGUGGUUCUGCGUGGAAGGGCCAUCGCUCAACGGAUAAAAGCUACCCUGGGGAUAACAGGCUUAUCUCCCCCAAGAGUCCACAUCGACGGGGGGGUUUGGCACCUCGAUGUCGGCUCAUCACAGCCUGGGGCUGUAGUAGGUCCCAAGGGUUGGGCUGUUCGCCCAUUAAAGUGGUACGCGAGCUGGGUUCAGAACGUCGUGAGACAGUUCGGUCCCUAU
rnacentral:rRNA from 1 species